GCACCCGUAGCUCAGCUGGAUAGAGCGCUGCCCUCCGAAGGCAGAGGUCGCAGGUUCGAAUCCUGCCGGGUGCGCCA
rnacentral:tRNA from 4 species